GUUGAAAGUAAACAACGUGGCUUCUACACAUUAUUGCUCCAAGCAAAUUUAUUAUUUUGUACAAUUAAACCUAAAUUAUAGUUAAAAGUUGCAUUAGUGGAUUUAUAAAAAAGCCGUUGAAGUUCCUUAUGAGGUUACAAGUUCUGCAUAAUAGCUGUAUUUGGUUCUAUAAGCUACAGAAUAACCACCUAAUGAUCAGAUAACCUAAAAUAUUAGCUGAUAUCAGUAAACACUAAACCGUAUACACCCAUAGAAGAAAACUAAUUUGUAAGUUUGCCUUUAUUUUGAUUAUUAUGCUACAUGAUCCAUAAUAAAUCUAUUUUUAGUCGAGUUUACGGACU